GGGAGUAAGUAUUGUCUAGUUAUUGUGGAUGAUUAUUCUCGCUUCACUUGGGUGUUCUUUUUGCAGGAAAAAUCUCAUACCCAAGAGACCUUAAAAGGAUUCUUGAGACAGGCUCAAAACGAGUUCGGCUUAAGGAUCAAGAAGAUUAGAAGCGACAACGGGACGGAGUUCAAGAACUCCCAAAUUGAAGGCUUCCUUGAGGAGGAGGGCAUCAAGCAUGAGUUCUCUUCUCCCUACACGCCACAACAAAAUGGUGUAGUGGAGAGGAAGAAUAGAACUCUAUUGGACAUGGCAAGAACCAUGCUUGAUGAGUACAAGACUUCAGAUCGGUUUUGGGCCGAGGCGGUCAACACCGCUUGCUACGCCAUCAACCGGUUGUAUCUACACCGAAUCCUCAAGAAGACAUCAUAUGAACUCCUAACCGGAUUUUUGCAAAGACCCUAUAAUAUUAUGUGAUUCGCAUGUUCAAAAGAGUUCUUAUUUCGACACCAGCUCUACUUCCAACUUCCCGAGAGGAAGGUGUAUGGGACAUGUUAUUCUCAAUUUUUUCUACUUUGGUCCAUCUAUAGAAGACACUUAUUCAUACUAUUAUGGAUAUUCAAAAUGGUGAUGUUAAGGACAUGUUUGGUUUGAGGAACUAAAGAUUAGUUCCUCUAUUUUAGUCUCAUUUAGUCCCUAAAUUGUCAGGGGACUAAAACAGAGACUAAAAUGUUUGUCUCUAGUCCCUCAAGGGGUGACUGAAAGGGACUAAACCAUAUUAAUUUCACUUUUUAUAUUUCCUUUAUUUCA